GUCUACGGCCAUACCACCUGGAACAUGCCUGAUUUCGUCUGAUCUCAGAAGCUAAGCAGGGUCGGGCCUUAGUACUUGGAUGGGAGAAUAUGAAUUGUUUCAAAAGGGUUCUGUGCAUG
rnacentral:rRNA from 1 species